AGCAGCCGCGGUAAUUCCAGCUCCAAUAGCGUAUAUUAAAGUUGUUGCAGUUAAAAAGCUCGUAGUUGAAUUUCGGGAUUGGCGCAUCGGUCGUGCCUCACGGGGGUAUGAACUGGUGCAGUCAAUUUCUCACCUUCUGGAGAACCGCGAUGUCCUUAAUUGGAUGCCGCGGGGAACCAGGACCUUUACCUUGAAAAAAUUAGAGUGUUUAAAGCAGGCAUUUUUGCCUGAAUACAUUAGCAUGGAAUAAUAAAAUAGGACGGCAUGGUUCUAUUUUGUUGGUUUCUAGGACCACCGUAAUGAUUAAUAGGGAUAGUUGGGGGCAUUAGUAUUCAAUUGUCAGAGGUGAAAUUCUUGGAUUUAUUGAAGACUAACUACUGCGAAAGCAUUUGCCAAGGAUGUUUUCAUUAAUCAAGAACGAAAGUUAGGGAUCGAAGACGAUCAGAUACC
rnacentral:rRNA from 1 species